ensembl:lncRNA
CAGCAAUCUUGUUACCCUACCUGGCUUAGGACGACUUGACACAGGAGUAGGAACUAUUGUAGCAUGUGUGACUGUUAUAGGACAUUUCAUAAUGGGUCUACAUAUGGGGUGGUCAGGAGGUCUGCAUGGGGUUUUGUCUUCUUUAUCACUGAAACACCAGUAAUACUGGAUUAUAUUUGGAAACAGUACAAUAAUUAUCAUUACAUCUCCACCUAUUCACAGGGUUGGGAAAAUAGAGCUCCCUCCUGUAUUUAGGGGUUCCAUGGUCCUUAUCUCUCUGGCGCCAUUGUCUCAUGAUGUGUUGGAGUACAGAGAUUACUAGGCACUUGUCUCACAUCGUCCUUGUAAGGUUUCAGUCAGAGGGCUCGCUUGGUGGGACUUACGGAAUAUCCGGACUGGAGCCUGGUAGAUUGCAGUCUAUAGGUAGCAAGGACAAGUUUUUCCUGAAAUCAACAUGUUUUAACGACCAUCCUCUUUGCCACCACUACCAAAUUAUGGCCCGUCAUUGAACUCCUAAAUUAAUGUGUCUCCAAGUCAUCAGGAACAAAGGAUUAUUUCUCAGAGAGGAGACCAUAACAUAAAAUAUACUGUAUCGUUAUUAUUGCUUUUAUUAUAAUUUUUUGUUACGAACCGUUGUUUGAAAUCAUGUCAGUAUGAAUGUACAAAAUACUCUAUUUAUUAAAUCCUCAUUCAUGCAAAUUAGAAAUUAUAUACUGGAG